ACAUUCCUCUUUUCAUCUCGCCCGAUUAGCAGUUCUGUCUGAGGGAACAUUCUUCCUGUGGCAAAGAACACAUUCUUGCCUCCAGUCCGCCUGAAAUAGAAUCCUGGAGAGCAGGCUUCGGCGCCCUGUUCCUGCAUCCGGGGGCCCUGCCCGGGCUGCUGUGCCAUGAUUCCCCCCCACCCCCAGACCUCUGCCCACCCAGUUGUUUCUCCUCUCCUCACCGAAGGCAGCAACAGCUGCCCCGAUGUUGACACAGAACUCUCUUGAAAAAGCAUCCCAAGGCUAGACAGGCCUUAGAGUCCUGGAGUCACAGGCACUUGAUAAUGCCGUCCUGCGAGGGCAAAUUUGAAAUCUCGGGGACAGUAUUCUGAGGGAGAACCAGGCACUCAACAACACAGGCCAAGGGGAUGGAUGUCUCCAAGGCUGAGUCAUGCCAAAUGAAGCCUUCUAUCUCAGGGUCCCUGCUCCAUCUUCAUUGGCUAGAGCGGCCUGGAAGUCAUCCACUUGUUGAAAAGCACCUGCAGGGUCGCAGGUUCUGUUCAGUUCUCUGGAGGAACCAACAUUUAUGAAACUGAAGCAUGAGAGGAGAGGCGGCAAGUUCUCCCUCCAGCCCAGAUGGGAUCACGUCAGAAGGGCAGGUCCACACAUCUCUCCUUUAUUACUGAAUCUGCAGCUCAGAAGCCUCAAGCUGGUAUUUCCUCUGCCCUACUAGGGAUUUUUAUGGGGUUUUUAUUUGGUUUCAUUUUUGCCAUGCUUCUGAGAAUGGUUCCUUUGUUCUGCCUCACUCGCUGCUUUGAGCCUCCAAGGCCCCAGAAGAUCACACAGCCGUACCCUCAGACAUGACCUGCACCCCCACACACACCAGUGUAGUUUGAGGAAACCCUCAUCUUUUAUGGAUUUUCAAGCAAUACAGUGAUGGGCUCCGGGGGCUGUAGAGGCAGCUCCCACAGGCCGGGCCCCUCACUGCAGCCCCGGGAAGCAGAGAUGAGGCAGCCAAGGGUCCCAGCCUUCGGUGUCCAGGGUUAGUGGGCCUAGUGCCUGUCCACUGAGGACAAGCGCCCCGUCUUUAGAAAACACUGCCUCCUCUGCACUAAUCAUGGCAUCCAAAUGCAAGCAGCCACCUGCUCAGAGCCCCCCCCCCCACUCUGCGCACCGACACUGAGCCAGGGGUGGUCACCUGACCCCAGCCAAGGCCCUCAAGGCCUCUCUGGGACUUUUGAACUCUUGGUCCCUCUCUAGCGGUGAACCUGGUAGGCGUGAUAAGCAGAAGCUGUCAUCCUGUGCCUCCCCUGCAGGGCUGAGAGAGCUUAUCAGUGGGAUUGGAGUCGAGAUUGGGUGGGAGAUGAUGCAGGGGGUCAGGUCCCGUGGCAGGCAUUUUCAGAGCCCCUUUUUGGAGGCCCCAGGGGGUCUGAGUUGCAUUUCUUCUGCAUGUGACUGAUAAUAGAGUCCCCAUGGGACUCACCAGGGGUUGGAUUCUGGCCAUUCAGCCUAAGCCAGACUGGCUGGCCUCUGCUUUGGCCAUGGGAACAGGAGAGGGUGGAGGGGGAGAAAGAGACCCUUAUCCAAGGUUGUUUAGGAUGUGAAAAUACAGAACCCCCGUGGCCACUUUGAGAGGACUUCAAAAUCUUUAUCAAGUCAAUACUUUCAGGAUUAUAUGCUCUCAGGCAGAGGGAAUUAUCUGGAUCAUCGAAGUGAUCUUAGAAAAAGUGACAGCGUUUAGUCAGCACACUAAGGACAGGUCCUUGGGAAAAUUGUGCACUGGGAUAAAUGGCCAGUUUUGACUCUUCUCCUAGAAGGGAGCUGCUGAGCUCCUGGCCCUCUCCUGUGUGUCUGUGGCUAGAUGGACAGAUGGACUCCAGGAGGCAUAGUUCAACUGCCACCUCCAUCAGUCGAACCCCCGCCAAGGCCGAGGCCCACAGAACCCAGCUGCUCCCCCAAACAUGACUCCCAGAUCCAAGGAGGCCGCUGAGAGGGGCACAGGCUCCCCACCUCCCUGGUCUCCCUGCGGAACCCACAGGACGGCCUCAGUCACAAGGAGGGAGGGAGGCAGAGUCCAGCCUAAUCCCCUUACUCAUCCAGAGGGUCGAAGGAGGGCCAGCAACCACAGGGGUCACAGCCUCCGUUUUGACUCCAAGUUCAAAGACUCUAGCUGAAGCAGCACAGGGCCCCCUGGCACCAGCCUACAAAACGGAUCCAGCCCUGAGUCAGAGAGGAAGCCGACACUCACUGAAUCACCCGUCCACUUCCUUCUGCCCAAAGCCGCCUCGGCCAAAACCAGCAGCCGCUUCCGAGGGGCAGCUCGGCGACCGACGCUCAGAAAAGCUGAGGCCCUGAAGGAGGGCCAGCAGGGCUGCACUCAUGCGGCCCAAACCAUCGAAACAGUGUCAAGGUGGCGCCCCCGCCCCCUGCAUUUUCCAAAGCAAAGCUUCGCAUCAUGUGACAGCGUGUCCUGCACUGUCCUUGGCAGGGUUCUUUUUCACUUCCCUAUUCGGAACACAGCCACACUUUCCAAAUGCCAUGAAUCAUCACCACCGAGCAACGGCCAUUCAGCAAGACAGGAAACCACUGAGCGGCAGGCCGGCAAGGAACAGCUCUCUCUGGCCCCGGCUGGGCCUGAGGCCACAGCAGCAGCUGCCACUCCAGGCACCCCUUCCCCACUGUCAUCCCCGGUGGCUGUCCUCUGCCCUCUGAUCCACCCUUGCACCGGGUCCCAGGCGGCAGUAGGGUUUCUGACUUGGUUCUAACAGCUCUCUCGUUGCAUUGGCUAAAGCGAAGCUGUCAUCUGCCAAUCCUGGGAGGGAGAGAAGUGGGCAGAUCCAGCCAAGACCCAGGGAGCUGAGCUCAGGGGGACGCGGUGCAGAGCAGACCCACCAACAGAAUAUGGGGCAUUGGCUCUCUGCCUGCAGGUGGCCUUGCAAGGAUGGUUCACAUGCCCUCCUUGUCAUCCAGGCCUCUUUGUGACCAGAACCACGUGGCCUUGUAGAUGCCUUUCAGAAAGUGCCUGAAUCCAGUCACCAGUGAGUCGCUGAAAAAAUAUCAAUGAAAGAGUCUCAUCUGCAGCGAGUAUCAGACUCUCCUGUGCUGAGUUCCUGGCUCCCCUGAUAAUAUGUCUGCCUUCACGCCCGUCUUAGGUUUUCCUGGAGUAGGGGAACCUCAUACAAAUCAUUGCGUUUGCCUCUAUUUAAUCAUAGACAGUGCCAUUCAAAAGGAAAGCAAUCUAGGAGUUCCCUGGUGGCUCAGCAGGUUAUGGAUCCCUCAUCAUUAUUGCUGUGGCACGGGUCACUGCUGUGGCAGGGAUUCGAUCCCUGGCCUGGAAAUUUCCACAUGCCAUGGGCACAGCCAAAGAAAAAAAUGGCAACAGCUAGUGUUGGCCAGGGGGUGGGAAAUAGGCGCACUUUCUCUACUGUUGGUGGACAUGGAGUGUUACAUGUUUCCUGGAGGCAGUUUGAUCCUGUUAACGAUAAUUAUUAAUGAGUAACUUUGACUCCUUGGCUUCAAGACUAGGGAUGUAUGGUCAACUGAACAACCAGGAAAAUGCACCAAAAUGUAAGUAUGAAGAAAGUCAUCACAGUGUGAGAAAGAGAGAAGGCAGGGAAGGAAGAGGGGAGGGAGACAGGAAGGAAGGAAGAAAGAAAUUGGAGUUCCCGUGUGGCUCAGCGGGUUAAGAACGCAACACAGUAUCCACGAGGAUACAGGUUCAAUCCCUGGCCUUGUUCGGUAGGUUAAGGAUCUGGUGUUGCCACGAGCUGCAACGUAGGUUGAAGAUGUAGCUCAGCUCUCACCUUGCUCUGGCUGUGGUGUUGGCCUCAGCUGCAGCUUUGAUUCAACCCCUAGCCGGCGAACCUCCAUAUGCCAUGGGUGUGACCCUAAAAAGAAAAUAAAUAAAUAAACGACAACCUGGAUGUGAUUGGGCCAGUACGUUUAAUGAAAAACUCUGCAACCGUUGAAAAUAAUGUUGGAAAUCUACAUCCAAAGCCCUCAAACAAUAUUCACCUGGAUCAUUUUGAUAAAAAGUAGGAGACAAAACAUGUGGCCCCCGUGCGUGGAAGUGUUGAUGGUGCGUGGGCCCAAAAGAGACUCUUGCAAGAUGUAUCAAGUUGUGAGCAGCGCUCAUAUCUGCGGAGGUGGAUUUCAAGGUGAUUUUCAUCAUCUCCAUAUUUUCUGCAUUUCUUAAAAUUUCUUAUAAGAAACGGUGAAGCAUUUUUAUGCCUAGAGAAAAGUAUAUAUCUGUUUUCCUUUUUAAGCCAAAAGUAACACAAAUGCAAAAGUUGUAUGAGUGCCUGACAGACUGUGUCUGUGCAAGAUAAAUUGCGUGUCCUCGUUCUGAUAGAAGGUGUUACUGGACCAUUCUGCCAGGAGGCCUUGUGCCCUGAGUUGUUUCUCUUGAGGUGUUUGUUUGUUUGUUUCUUUAUUUGUCUUUUUGCCAUUUCUAGGGCCGCUCCUGCAGCAUAUGGAGGUUCCCAGGCUAGGGGUCCAAUUGGAGCAAUAGCCACCAGCCUAUACCAGAGCCACAGCAACACAGGAUCCAAGACUCGUCUACAACCUACACCACAGCUCAUGGCAACGCCGGAUCCUUAACCCAUGGAGCAAGGCCAGAAAUUGAACCCGCAGCCUCAUGGUUCCUAGUUGGAUUGGUUAACCACUGUGCCAUGACGGGAACUCCUGUUUGUUGUUUGUUUUAAUGGUCACGUGCACAGCAUGUGUAAUAUGGAAGUUCCCAGGCUAGGAGCCACAUCUGCGACCUUGGCCGCAGCUGAGGCAAUGCCAGAUCCUUAACCCACUGCACCAGUCCGGGGGUCCAACCCACACCUCCACAGCAACCCAGGCCACUGAAGUCAGAGUCUUAACUCACUGUGCCACAGUGGAAACGCCACAUUUCUGAUGGAUUCAACUGAUUUUCCCCUGCUCUCUUAAGCAGCCCCUGUGUGGCACCUCCGUUUAUCAGGAUGGCUGACCCGGGUCGGGGUAGAGACUGAAAUAUGGCCAGGUUUUCUCCCAUAGAUGCCACAUAUGCUAUAGAGUCAUCAAUCCCAGGUUUCAGUGCUUGGAAUUAACCAAAUUAAUAAACGCAGACCUAUCUGGGUGGCCAAGCAGAUUCAGAUGUUUUGAAAAAUAUAUGCAUCACAACACCCAGAAAUAAAUUCCAGACCCUUGAAGAUCAUAGACUCUAAAGCCAGACAGAUCUUUUAGAAAUAAUCUCUUCUGGACCUCUCAUCUGACAGAGGGAAUCAAGACACAGAGAAGUCAAGUGACUUGCUUAAAGUCACACACUUUAUGGGUGACAGAGCCCAGAAUACAACUGGUGUCUCCUGACCUGCAAUUUGAGGUUCUUUCUGCUUUAUCACAACUGGGACCUGUGCAGUGGGUAGAGGUGGGAGCCAUGGCAGAAAAUGUCCUUCCAACCCUCAGGAAACUUCUCCUGUGAGAGGUCCAGAAUAUAUUACAAUGGCCCCAGCCUUUGUAGGGGGGUCUAGUAGAGUUUCAGGUAAGCAUAUUCUUGACCAAGAGCUCAUCUGUUUUUCCGAAAGGGGAUUACAGAGCUUUCAUCAUAUUUCCAAAGGGAUCCCAUGGCAGAAAAAAAACUAAGAACCAAUGAACUGGAACAAAAGAAAAAA
rnacentral:lncRNA from 1 species